UACGAAGGGGGCUAGCGUUGCUCGGAAUCACUGGGCGUAAAGGGUGCGUAGGCGGGUCUUUAAGUCAGGGGUGAAAUCCUGGAGCUCAACUCCAGAACUGCCUUUGAUACUGAAGAUCUUGAGUCCGGGAGAGGUGAGUGGAACUGCGAGUGUAGAGGUGAAAUUCGUAGAUAUUCGCAAGAACACCAGUGGCGAAGGCGGCUCACUGGCCCGGUACUGACGCUGAUGUGCGAAAGCGUGGGGAGCAAACAGG
rnacentral:rRNA from 1 species